AGUCGUGAUAUCCGCACGCGCGCACCGUGCUGUUGUUCCGGUGUGCAGUUGGUGUAAUCGCGGUUUCAAAUCCUCAUCCGAUGUCUGGCAUAACAUAUAAUAACAGCUAUGAUACAAAUCAAUGGAAACUAGUUUUCCAGUUCUGGGUCGCGGGACAUCAAGAGUGAAUCUCUCAGUCUAGAGAUUCGAUUCGGACAAGUCACGCGAAGUGUAGACACGCUUCCGCCGGCCAAGUGGACUGCAAUCUUAUUUCUGCAAUCGUUUCCUUUUGGAGAGCAAGAGGCAAUCUAGUCUGACGGAUUCUCAUGCGGGAGAAUCUGCUUGGAAAUGUAACGUGGGAAUGAAGGUAGUUUAACGAAUUUUAUAAAUGUUCGAAGCUUGAAAAAAAAAUUAAUUUUUAUUUUUAUUUUUAAGAGGAAAAUAUUUGGGAAACACGAGUCGAUAUUGAGGAUUAUUGUUGUAUAAAUAUUGCUCAUACUAUUAUAAUAAUACAUUCAUGAAUCAUGUUGGCCAACAAUCGAUCAAUUUAUUCCACGAAUUUCUAAACAUUAUUCAAUUUUCAAAAAUGCAUAUCUAGAAAUUUUUAUACGCGACGAUGUUAGCGUUUUGAAUGGAUCACCGAAAAGAAAAUUCGUGGACGAUUCUUCGUUCUCGUAACGGUCUGCCAAUCAGUUUGUAAAUUUGCGUAACACCAUGAAUAUUAAAACCGACAAACAUUCGUUCUUGCGAAGAAACAUCUUCGAUCAGGAACCGUAAAUCACCGUUGGAACAACUCAAAAUAGAUAUAAAUGUUCACUAUCUUCGACCAUCUUGCAUAUAUUCAG